GAUGAACGCUAGCGACAGGCUUAACACAUGCAAGUCGAGGGGCAGCAGGAAGUAGCAAUACUUUGCUGGCGACCGGCGCACGGGUGAGUAACGCGUAUGCAACCUACCUAUCAGAGGGGGAUAACCCGGCGAAAGUCGGACUAAUACCGCAUAAAACAGGGGUCCCGCAUGGGAAUAUUUGUUAAAGAUUUAUUGCUGAUAGAUGGGCAUGCGUUCCAUUAGAUAGUUGGUAAGGUAACGGCUUACCAAGUCUGCGAUGGAUAGGGGUUCUGAGAGGAAGGUCCCCCACACUGGUACUGGGACACGGACCGGACUCCUACGGGAGGCAGCAGUGAGGAAUAUUGGUCAAUGGGCGAGAGCCUGAACCAGCCAAGUCGCGUGAAGGAUGAAGGAUCUAUGGUUCGUAAACUUCUUUUAUAAGGGAAUAAAGUGCGGGACGUGUCCUGUUUUGUAUGUACCUUAUGAAUAAGGAUCGGCUAACUCCGUGCCAGCAGCCGCCGCAG
rnacentral:rRNA from 1 species